rnacentral:rRNA from 1 species
AUACGUAGGGGGCGAGCGUUGUCCGGAAUGAUUGGGCGUAUAGGGCGCGUAGGCGGCCCGGUAAGUCUGGAGUGAAAGUCCUGUUUUUAAGAUGGGAAUUGCUUUGGAUACUGUCGGGCUUGAGUGCAGGAGAGGUAAGUGGAAUUCCUAGUGUAGCGGUGAAAUGCGUAGAUAUUAGGAGGAACACCAGUGGCGAAGGCGGCCUGCUGGACGACAACUGACGCUGAGGCGCGAAAGCGUGGGGAGCAAACAGGAUUAGAUACCCUGGUAGUCCACGCUGUAAACGAUGAAUACUAGGUGUGGGGGGACUGACCCCCUCCGUGCCGCAGUUAACACAAUAAGUAUUCCACCUGGGGAGUACGAUCGCAAGAUUGAAACUCAAAGGAAUUGACGGGG